CUCACAAGGACUACCCUGGCCAAGAUUUUGCUAAAUUGAAACACGACUGUACACAGCUCCUAAAUUGGAGUGGUCAAUCCCAUCUUGACACACGCACCGACAAGUCAAGUACUUGACUACACCCAGCAGCCUUCCGUCACUGAAUUAGAAAUUUAGGUAGUCCAGUGCCUAAGUGCAGUGAGUUGCUUGCAAGUCACCGUGGCGGU
rnacentral:lncRNA from 1 species